rnacentral:rRNA from 1 species
CCUACGGGAGGCAGCAGUGGGGGAUAUUGCACAAUGGGGGGAACCCUGAUGCAGCGACGCCGCGUGGGUGAAGGAGUGCUUCGGCAUGUAAAGCCCUAUCGGCAGGGAAGAAGCAAGACGGUACCUACCUAAGAAGCCCCGGCUAAAUACGGGCCAGCAGCCGCGGUAAUACGGCGGGGGCGAGCGUUAUCCGGAUUCACUGGGUGUAAGGGGAGCGUAGACGGCCAUGCAAGUCCGGGGUGAAAGCCCAGGGCCCAACCCCGGGACUGCACUUGAAACUGCAUGGCUGGAGUGCGGGAGGGGCAAGUGGAAUUCCUGGUGUAGCGGUGAAAUGCGUAGAGAUCAGGAGGAACACCGGCGGCGAAGGCGGCCUGCUGGACCGCGACUGACGUUGAUGCGCGAAAGCGUGGGGAGCGAACAGGAUUAGAUACCCUUGUAGUC